rnacentral:lncRNA from 1 species
GAAGGCGUCAUGCAGAGGAGUUGAGGCUGGGCACCAUGAAGGGAGCCUCUGAGAGGCUACUGGUGAAGCCUAUUUGCAGUGAGAAACCCCAUCAUGUUAGAGAUGCCAGUACCAUGGGAUGACCAUCAGGAACAGCAGCAACAGUGGAGUAGAAUCAACCAGACCCUGGAAUGCUACAGAGGGCAAAGCUAGAGAUAUGACCCAAGCCCUUUGGAGGAACCCAGAAGAUAAUUGGUGGGUACCAGACAUUGGAACAAGAAGCUGUAACUUCAAUGUUGCCUUGGAGACGCCAAGAUGUUUGAGAUGCCAGAGUCAUGGGAUACCUGUUAUGGAAAGCUACUAACAGGGAGUGGAACAAGCCACCAAAGAGAGUUGUGCUGCAUUCAACAAAGCAGAAAGGAGUUGGAUAUCAGAUGUGGAGAUGUUGAAUUUAGAGUUUUCCCAGCUGGUUUUUUGGUCUUGCAUUGGUCCAGUAUUUCCUCAGUAUGAAGCUUUGGAAUGAUAAGGUAUAUCCUGUGACGGUGGAGAGCAGGCUGGCAGACAAAGCAUCAGAGUCUUGCCAAACAAACCCAACACUGCUUUCUUCAACUGCUCCAAUGGAUACAGGACUCUAGCAAGCAAAAGCGGCUUCACCAGGCUGAAGAGGGGCCACCCUGUCUCAUCUCCUGUUCUCCACAGCUCAGUGUCUACAGGUUUUCACCUCACUCUUUGCUUAUUCCAAAUCCAGCUACCUCAGACACCCUGGGUUCAGCCCUCCUGGUGCUCUCCAGGGUGCUCAGCACCCUGUCCCCAGCUGGUUUCACAAAGGCCUCCACUUCC